AGAGCCCCCUUCAGCUCCUGGGGGGGGCCCCAGCCACAGCCAGAGCCCUCAGAGGCAGGCCCGGCCCACUCCAGGCCUCCACUCCGUCCUCUCCUCGCAGCCCUAUCAUCCACUCAGCCCCCAAAUGCCAUUUAUAUCACUGCCUCCCUGCUAUCUGUCGGAGAGGCCGGUGGGUUUCUCUCAGGCUCCUUCACCUCUCUCCCCAUGUGUCUCCAUCCUCGCCUUGCUCCCUCCCUCUCUCCAUCUAUUCUUGUUGCGUUCAGAUUUUAGCUUCAGACAGAUGCGGUGUCAAGGUCCCAGGCACUCCUGUGCUGUGUGACCUUUGUGGAGCCACAGCCAUUUGUCCAUUGCCUUGGCCGGCCCCCCCUUUUCUCAUCUGUGCGACGGGGUUGACACCUGCGGUGCCGGCCUCUUGCGGUUCACCGUGCCUGCCGAGGAUCCAGCAGGCGCUUACUCUGUGGUGGCCACCAGACGGUGAUGGGGUUUGUGAUAGAAUCAUUGGACUCCCAGUGCCUUGCCGCCCACCUGCCGCCUGCCACCUGCCACCUGCCGGCCGCUCCCAUCACUGCGGGGGAGGCCGGGUAGGCUCCCCACCCCCUGCUAUUCUCAGAGCCUUCCAGGAGGUUCCGAGCAGCUUCUCACCGGAUAUUUGGCUUUUUCUUGGAGCUUGCUCUGCCCCUCCUCUGUGAGGAUGUUCUCAGGUGGCCAGGGGUGGAGAAGGGAAGGAGGGCAGACUCUCCAGGCGCUUGCUGACAAUUAGACAGAGGAGGGGAGUCCGCCGGUCCAGGCAGGACUCGGCCCGGGCGGUGCCUGUGUCCAGCUCCCCGGUGCUGGGCUGGGCUGAAAUGCAGCAGAAGAGGCCUGGGAGUGGGUUGUAGUCCCACCUACCGUAGCCGAGGUCAUGUGACUGUGGGGGUCUCUGAGCCUUUGUGGCCUCAGUCUCCUCUCCUGGAAAAUGGGCCUGAUGGUCCACGGUCUGCCUCCCGAGCAAGGGGAAAGCCUGCGGAGCUGCAGACGGAGAUGCAGACGAGGCGGCACUGCCGGGUGGCGGGGCUGGCUGGCAGGACCCCCAGGCUCUCUCGAGCUCCUUGCUGGGCCCUGAGUUCCUCCUGUUCUCCACCCACCCUGAGGCCCGGGCAGGCCCCAGACGUGAGGAGAGGGGCGGAUCUGGGCAGCCCCUCCACCAGCCUGGCUCAAGGCAGCCCCACAGUGCUCGUCCCCCACCCGUCCCUGUACCAGCCCCUGGCAGCCCUGCCAGGUAGGGGCCGACCACUUUUUUGGUGGUUGUAUUUUAAAAAAAAUUGUUGUAAAAUAUACAUAACAUAAAAUUUACCAUCUUAACCAUUUUUAAGGGUACAGUUCUGUAGCACUAAGCACAUUCACAAUGUCGCACAACUGUCACCACCAUCCAUCUCCAGAACUUUUUCAUCUUCCCAAACAGAAACUCUGUGCCUGCUCCCCAUCCCCCCGCCCCCUCUGGUAACCGCCAUCCUACUUUGUCUCUACGAAUUUGCCUCAUAUAAGUGGAAUUAAACAUCUGUCCUUUUGUGUCUGGCUUAUUUCACUUAGCAUAAUCGGAUGACCUCUUUUAACAGAUGAGUAAACUGAGGCACAGAGAGACUACAGGACUUGCCCAGGCUGCGUGCCCUCUCUCACAUCCUUUCUGCCUCCUCUCUCCUGUUCCCCACUUCCCUGUGAGUGUCCCCAUUCGCCUGUCAUGCCCCCAUUUCACCGAGGAAGAGAGAGAGGAGCCAGGAGCCCGAGGUCCUGAGGGGCUGAAGGACUCUGAGCGUGGUGCUCAUACACUCGGGACCACCCUGCUCUGCCGGGAGUGGGGGGCUGGGCCAGUCCCAGGGCUUGAUGGGGAACAGGCCAGGGACCGCCACGCCCCUUGCAGGCCCAGUGACUCUUUUCCAAGGCUGACCUGGUGACCAGACCCUGCGGGUUGCCUCAGGCUGCGCUGACAUCACCCCUUCCCGGGGCUCUCUGGGUCAGAGAGGGGACAGGCUGGCAGUUAGCAACAUGGCCCGAGGGGUCACCCAGGGCAGAGAAGAGCCUGAUCCGCCUCCGGGUGACCCACACAGCCCCGUCCCCCUCCCUGGCCUCCCAGGCUCCGAGUGUGCGUGCUUGGAGAGGGCCAAGGUGCCUGGGAAGCUUUUAGGAAUGGGGAAAAACAUUUAUUGCCUCCCUGCGUGAGCUCAGGGACAUAAGCAAGUCAGGUGGCAAGAUUUCCUCCGGGCGCCACUCAUUUUCUUCAUCUAACUCUUAAAGCGUUUUGGGAUCCAGAGCAGCCCAUGUGUCCACCUGCAAACCCUGCUAACCACUGAGCUUUCUAUAGAUUCAUUCAUUCAUUCAUUUGUUCAGCAAGGAUUGACUGAGAAUGGCUGUGCGCAGGACAAAGGGGCCCCAGUCGCCUGGAGUCCCUGAGCUUGCCGUCCGACAGCCAAGCCCAACAUGCAUCAAAGACUCAGAUGGUGAGCAACCUCAGGCAGCGCCCAGGGCUCUGAGGGAGGAGUCAGGGCCUCGUGGGGACCACGAAGCAAGCGGAUUAAGACUGGGAGAUGGAGGGCGGCUUCCCUGAGAGGCCGCUGAGCUGAGGGGUACGGACCAGCCAGGCAGAGAACUCCAGGAAGAGCGUCCCCGGCAGAGGAAACAGCACGUGAAAUGGCCCAGAGGCGCGAAAGAACUCAGUGAGCAUGGGGACCUGGAGGGGCUCAGGGAGCGGCAGCCGCAGUGAGUGGGGGGCUGGGGGCUGGGGCUGGACGCUCAAGACUCAGCAGAGGGGCUGGUUACACAAGGUGACUAGAGGAGUCAGAGGGGACAAGAGAGGGAUUCCCCUGGGCCAGGGGACAGAGGGAGGGGGUGGUAAUACUGGAGUCCAAGGACCGUGAUGGUGGACCCAGGCCGAGCAUUUCCAGUGGAAGCUGGAGCCCGGGAGGGGCAGGAGCCAAGCCCAAGGCAGACGGAGGAGAAAUGCCCGGCUUCUCCCUUCCUCCCGCCCUCCCGGCUCCCAGCGGAGCCUCCCAUUGGCUGAAUCCAGCUGGAGCCCAGGAAACACGGGCCUGGCCCGUGUGGCCUUGGACAAGUCUCUGGGUCCCUCUGAGCCUCAGUUUCUUCAUCUGUUAAAGGGCCCAUCACACCGACUUUGCAGGUCUGUGUAAAGGCUGGAGUUAAAGGCAGUGGCUGUUCUUCUCCUGGGCCCUAGUGGCCCUGGCAGCCCUGAGUGUGGCCUGGACCCUGCUUGACCCUCUUCUGCUCAAAGUUUGACCUGCAGAGCCUGCUGUCUCUGCCCCUUCAGUGGUCACCCUGGCCCAGGGGUCCUGGAGACUCAGAGAUGGGCCAGACUCUGGCCUCUACGUCUUCAGCCCGGGGCGGGGCUAUGCUCUACAAAAGGCUGCAGGGUGUCUGCGGAGAGACAAGCCAACAUCUGCAUCGGAAAGCAAAUAGACGCACACGUUUCCCUCCGUUUAACCCAUUAAAGGCCGGCAUUCCAUCA
ensembl:lncRNA